rnacentral:tRNA from 1 species
UUAAUUAAAGCCAAAAAGAGGCAUAUUAUUGUUAAUAAUAAAAUUGAAUUUAAUAAAUUCUAAUUAAA